rnacentral:rRNA from 1 species
AGCGAACAUUGGCGGUAGGCUUAACACAUGCAAGUCGAGCGAGGCGUAAUAGUCGAGCGGCGAACGGGUGCGUAAUACAUGGGAAUCUACCUCGAAGUGGGGGAUAACGUCCAGAAAUGGACGCUAAUACCGCAUAAUCCAUAUCGGGAAAGCGUUGCAGCGCUUUGAGAUGAGCCCAUGGCUGAUUAGCUUGUUGGUGAGGUAACGGCUCACCAAGGCGACGAUCAGUAGCUGGUCUGAGAGGAUGACCAGCCACACUGGAACUUGAGACACGGUCCAGACUCCUACGGGAGGCAGCAGUGGGGAAUCUUGCGCAAUGGGGGCAACCCUGACGCAGCCAUACCGCGUGAGUGAUGAAGGUCUUCGGAUUGUAAAGCUCUUUCGGCAGGGACGACGAUGACGGUACCUGCAAAAGAAGUCACGGCUAACUUCGUGCCAGCAGCCGCGGUAA